rnacentral:misc_RNA from 1 species
UGCUGAGGCUGUUUAGCAAGCAAACCUUUUAUUAGGUUGUAUAUUGUGAUCAGAUGCUCUGAUGCCAAUAGUAGUAUAAGAUAGAUAUAAUGGAUUGUAGAGAGGUUUGUGCUUGUAUAUGCCUAUUAUCACAUCACAUGAAUACAUGCACUUUUGCUCUUAAAUUCAACUGAAUUAUACUUAAAAAUCUUUGUAAUUAAGGUAUAUUUCUUUC